ensembl:lncRNA TRIB1AL TRIB1 associated lncRNA
GGGGUCUUGGAAAGAUGCAAAUGAUGUAAUGAGCAGAAGCAGGGGAUUGACUUCCAAGCUCUGCCACUUAUUAGCUUUGUGGUCACUUACGCCCUCCGCAAGCCCCAGUGUUUUCACCUGUACAAUGGGGGAUUACAAUACCAACUGCCAGAGUGGAUGCAGGUGGCGUGCAGACUCUAAUCACAGCAGUGAAUGCAAGAAGGAAGGUGGAAGGUGGUGGCGAGGUCCUGAAAUGGGCGUCCAUGUGGACUUGCACACACCGUGACAACCCCAGAAAAUGGUGUGUGAUUUCCCAGCUUCCCUUGGAGAAAUGUCACUGCCAUGAUUGUGUUACAGAGGACCUCCAUCUAGCCAGCACGCUCACACUCCUUCCCUGGAUCGGUUUGAUGAAGCAGGCCUCCAUGUUGUAAACUGUCUCAUGGAGAGGCCCAACUGGCAAGGAACUGAGGAAAGCCUCUGGCCAACAGCCAGUGAGGAGCUGAAUCCUGCCAACAACACUGAGAAAGUUUGGAAGUGGAUCCUGCCCCAGUUGAACCUUCAGAUGGCUGUGGUCUCAGCUGACAUCUUGAUUGUAGCUUUGUAAGAGACUUUGACCCAGAGGACUCAGAGAUGGAUAAGCUGAGGAUUGGAGAGGUGAGGUCAGUGCAGCAGUCCCACAGCACACCAGAGCUGGAUUUGAACCCAGGUGCAUUUGCAUGGCUUCUGGCUCCUCUGUGGACUGACAGCCUGUGUGGGCCAGCGCUUCCCUUCUCUGGGACUCAAUUCUUCCACUUAUAAAAUGAGGGGGUUGGACCAGAUGACUUUUUAAGAGUCUUCCCAUCCCUGGUAUUCCCUGAGUCGCCAUCUUGGAAAUUCUGACCUCAUUCCUGCUUUGUGCAGCUGUUUAUUUGCUUGUCUCUCUUACACUGUGGAGCUGUGGAGCAGUUCAGGCCAGUCUUGCUGGGAUAAAGGCAUAGCUUCCUCUGUGGCCUCUGGGUUUGAGAAGGUCUCCGAGAAUCCUCACUCCACAGAGGACAUAGCAUCUUUUUCGGAGCCCUCCCACUGGCUCGAGAGGGAACUUGUAAUUUCGUUUUAUUUUUGGUUUUCUCUCUCUUGCUCUUUUUACUGGAGUAAGAUAUACAUAAUAUAAAACUUACCAUUUAUCUAUUUUCAAGCAUCCAGUUCAGUGGCAUUAAGUACAUUCACAUUAUUAUGUAACCAUCACCAUGAUCCAUCUGAGAACAUUUUCAUUAUCCCAAAUGGAAACUCUGUACCAUAAAACAGUAUCAUCCA